rnacentral:rRNA from 1 species
UACGUAGGGCGCAAGCGUUGUCCGGAAUUAUUGGGCGUAAAGAGCUCGUAGGCGGCCUGUUGCGUCCGCUGUGAAAUCCCGGGGCUUAACCCCGGGCCUGCAGUGGAUACGGGCAGGCUGGAGGCAGGCAGGGGAGAACGGAAUUCCCGGUGUAGCGGUGAAAUGCGCAGAUAUCAGGAGGAACACCAAUGGCGAAGGCAGCUCGCUGGGACGGUACUGACGCUGAGACGCGAAAGCGUGGGGAGCAAACAGG